CCGCGUGAGUGAGGAAGGCCUUAGGGUUGUAAAACUCUUUCAGUAGGGAAGAUAAUGACGGUACCUACAGAAGAAGUCCCGGCAAACUCCGUGCCAGCAGCCGCGGUAAUACGGAGGGGGCAAGCGUUGUUCGGAAUUAUUGGGCGUAAAGGGCAUGUAGGCGGUUCGGUAAGUUAAA
rnacentral:rRNA from 1 species